rnacentral:tRNA from 1 species
GUGGUGGCUUAGUGGUAGAGUGCUUGCCUAGCAUGUGUGAGGCACUGGGUUCGAUUCUUAGCACCACA